rnacentral:sRNA from 1 species
UUUUUGUAUUUUUAGUAGAGAUGGAGUUUCACCAUGUUGGCCAGGCUGGUCUCGAACUCCUGACCUCAAGUGAUCCGCCUGCCUCAGCCUCCCGAAGUGCUGGGAUUACAGGGGUGAGCCAUCAUGCCUGGCCCUGAUCACUUGACUUUUUAAUUUUUAAAAAUAAAUAAAACCUUAUUUUCUGGAGAAGCCCUGUCCUGUUGGCACUUGUUCUAUUUUCUUCUGUGUUCCCUACAGCAGGGGACCUCCUCGCCCACGACCUGCCCCAGCAGUUGGAGAGGCUGAAGAUAAAGAAAAUCAGCAAGCCACCAGUGGUCCAAACCAGCCGUCUGUUCGCCGUGGAUACCGGCGUCCCUACAAUUACCGGCGUCGCCCGCGUCCUCCUAACGCUCCUUCACAAGAUGGCAAAGAGGCCAAGGCAGGUGAAGCACCAACUGAGAACCCUGCUCCACCCACCCAGCAGAGCAGUGCUGAGUAACACCAGGCUCCCCAGGCACCUUCACCAUCGGCAG